rnacentral:rRNA from 1 species
AUUGAACGCUGGCGGCAGGCUUAACACAUGCAAGUCGAGCGAGCGGCGGACGGGUGAGUAAUGUCUGGGAAACUGCCUGAUGGAGGGGGAUAACUUCUGGAAACGGUAGCUAAUACCGCAUACCAUCAGAUGUGCCCAGAUGGGAUUAGCUAGUAGGUGGGGUAAGGGCUCACCUAGGCGACGAUCCCUAGCUGGUCUGAGAGGAUGACCAGCCACACUGGAACUGAGACACGGUCCAGACUCCUACGGGAGGCAGCAGUGGGGAAUAUUGGACAAUGGGCGAAAGCCUGAUGCAGCCAUGCCGCGUGUGUGAAGAAGGCCUUCGGGUUGUAAAGCACUUUCAGUGAGGAGGCGUUACUCGCAGAAGAAGCACCGGCUAACUCCGUGCCAGCCGCCGCGGUAAUUC